rnacentral:misc_RNA from 1 species
AAGUCGUAACAAGGUCUCCGUAGGUGAACCUGCGGAGGGAUCAUUACUGAGUUAUUACAACUCCAACCCAUGUGAACUUACCACUGUUGCCUCGGCGCAGAGGCCCUCUGAGGACUUGUCCUCGGUGGGUGUAUGCGCCGGUGGACUACUAAACUCUUGUUAAUUUUGGUAUUCUGAAUCAAAAACUUAAUAAGUUAAAACUUUCAACAACGGAUCUCUUGGUUCUGGC